UCCGGUUUGUCACCGGCGGUCUCCUUAGAGUUCCCACCAUUACGUGCUGGCAACUAAGGACAAGGGUUGCGCUCGUUGCGGGACUUAACCCAACAUCUCACGACACGAGCUGACGACAGCCAUGCAGCACCUGUGUUCGAGUUCCCGAAGGCACCAAUCCAUCUCUGGAAAGUUCUCGACAUGUCAAGGCCAGGUAAGGUGGGGAUGACGUAAGAGAGUACGUCC
rnacentral:misc_RNA from 1 species